UGAAAAAUUAGAAACGACUGAGUAUUCUCUCAAGUGAAAAGAGGCUAAAAAUUGUUUGGAGUUUGCUUGGUUUUUGGAUUUCUAAAUUACUGUGAUAAAUCAGAAUUUCAAGGCUCAAUAGAGUAAUUCGAAUCUGGGUUUCCAUAGUGUGGAUCUGAGUAAAAAAUCUGAAGUUUGUUGUGCACCAUUGUUUGUUGCAAUAUUGCUGCUGUGGGAUGAAGUUCUGAUCCUUAAUCACUUCUUUUCCUUCUGUUUUGACUGCCGUAUCCAGGUACUCUCUUCACACCAUGAAUGGAAAUGAAGUUUUGGCUAAGCUAUGGUUUGAUUUAUUUAAUUCAAGUUGAAGAAGUUGACAAAUGCUAAUUCCUUAUUACUUAUUAGCUAUGUGAUCUUACUGUACUUUUGGUUUAGUGUCCAUUCUAGUCUAGCUUCUUAAGUGUAGUAGCUCGUAUUAUCUGUUUGUUCUAAGGUUGGAGCUGAGAUUUUAUUUAACUAUGGUUUAUUCAAGAAUUUUCAUUCUAGUAUAACAUGUGUAAUUGAGGAUGGUGGCUAUUGAGCUUACUGACGAGGCUGCCUGGUCUUUGAAAAUGUUUUAUAGCUAUGGGUGGGAUGCUUAUUAGUUUGGUUCACUCAUGUUGUAGGUUCAUCAGUUUUGGUUUAAUUUUAUCUCCCCUUAAUGUUUCUUUAGAUUUUCUUGCGAAUAACUUAAGGUAUAGUCUAAUUGUUUCAGUUUUUCUCAUGCAAUUCUACCUUUUCUCACACACGAGCAUCUUGGAGUUUAAUAAAAUCUUAAAUGGAACCUGAACUUGACUCAUAGAAUUCUCAGAUUUGGAUCACUUCUUUACAUUUGGUUUUUUCUAUAGCAAGUCUGAAUCAUAUGGUUUGUUUAAGUAUGUUAGCAUGAGAUCUGAACUCAGCAAGUGAAUGGAGCCUAUUUGAAAUUUUGAAAUUGCUUUCUUCUGCUGGAAACUCGAAUGGAUGGUUUAAAAUGAUGAAAUAGCCUGCAUGAAUUGUUAAUAGUUGGUUGCCCAAAUUCUGAAUUUUUAUUACAAUGUGGUUCCUGCAGCGACUAGUGCUUAAAGAAUUGAAUUGGGCUAUAACAUUGGCCCAGUUGUGUCAAGUUUCCUCCGCUGGGUACAUUUCAGUUUUUGGGCUUCACAUUUGAGCCUAUAUGUGUUUUCCUAUUUAUUGACAAAGAUAAUUAGUUGGACAAUGGGUCUAUAACCCACCUGGGUUCUUUUAAUAAGCUCAAUUUGAUGUCACGAACUGUUAGCAUACGAAUUAUUGACAUUGAGUUUGAAACUUUCGCAUUAUAAAUUCUUCAUGCAGUUUAAUUUAGUUAAUUCCCUUUAAAAUUGGAAUUGAGGUGCGCCAUGCCAAAUAAAAUCUUAAAACGCAAGGCCCUCACUUGUUUAAUAUCUUAAUCCUUUAGAAAUCGAGGCGCGCCAUUUAGCAAAUUUCUAUGGUCCUCGCAAAGUUGGAAAAUGCGUAGUUGCUUUAGGCGCGUUGUUUUAAUAAUUUACCUCCUAAACUCGGGUGCACAUUUAUGUGACCCAAAUCCAAAUCUCAACGUUAAAUAAAUGUGUUGCGGACUGCAGGUGCAUUUAUGUGACGUGGUUCAAGGCAUAUUUUAAAUGACGUUGCAAUCUUCCUUUAAAAAUGAAUAAAAGCGGUUAUAAAGUUAAAAUUGAACCAUAGGCUAAAAUAUGUAUUAAAAUCAGAUAAUAAGCCAAUUGUAAUAGUUGAGCGACCGUGUUAUAACCACGGAACCCGAGAAUGCCUAACACCUUCUCCCGGGUUAACAGAAUUCCUUACCCGGACUUCUGUGUUUGCGGACUGUAAAACAGAGUCAAUCUUUCCUCGAUUCGGGAUUUAAAACAGGUGACUUGGGACACCAUAAAUUAUCCCAAGUAGCGACUUUGAAUCUUUAAAUAAAUAAAUCCUGUUUCGAUUGUCAUUAUAAGUUGGAAAAAACUCUCUAUUUAUACCCUUUACGGGGGUGUAAGUAAAAAAGAGGUGUGACACUAGGUACAUAUUGUUUAUGUACUCAUACUACGCUUUUGUACUUAAUUGUACAGGAUCUGAGGCAGGUACAUCUAGUUACCAGUCUGGUGCACCAUUCUUGAUCGUAGUCCGAGAUUCCACGGUGAGCUGCUCCCUUCCUAUGUCGUUCAGCAGCAUGAUGGAGUCUCUCUUUGCUUUUGGUUGUCUAUUCUAUUUCAGACAGUUGGAUAGAUUUAUUCUUUUAUAUAUUCUGCUAGAUGCCCAUAUACUUGUGACACCAGGUCUUGACACACA
rnacentral:lncRNA from 1 species